AGGUGCGAUCAUACCAGCUUUAAUGCACUGUAUCCCAUCAAAGAUCCACAGUUAAGCGCGCUUGGGAUAGAGUCGAACUGAGAUGGGUGACCUUCUGGUAAGUCCUAGUGUUGCACCCU
rnacentral:rRNA from 1 species